rnacentral:snRNA from 1 species
AUCGCUUCUCGGCCUUUAGGCUAAGAUCAAGUGUAGUAUCUGUUCUUAUCAGUUUAAUAUCUGAUACGUCUUCUAUCCGGAGACUAUAUUUUCAAUUGGUUUUUGGAACAUGGGGUAGGACUAGGAGCUUGUUCCAACCACUCCACACAUUGACCUGGUAUUGCAGUAUUUCCAGCAAUGGUACACCUUCA